CAUCAUAUGACACAGUUGCAGCAGCCAUAAAGGAUCCACUCGUCUUGGCCAAAUUGCAGUUCUACGCAGCAAUUGCCAGGACCUUCAAUUCCUUCCUGAAAAAAUAUCAGACGGAUGAGCCUGUGCUCCCAUUCCUCCCCAAGGACCUGACCGAGUUGAUGAUGGUAACAAUUUACUUAACGUUAUAACCACUGAUUGGGCUCAAUUGAUCCAUUAUGACAAAAUGGGGUUUGUGGUUAGGAUGUCUAAAAAAUAGUGGCUACAUUGUGCAUCAUCAUAAGAUAAUUUGAUGUUGGUGAUUAAUGUGCCGCACCAGACAUUUUUGUGUUUGUCUGUUGACAGAGUCUACUCAGACGCUUCAUAAAAGUACUACACGAUAUCACUGUCCUGCAGCUGACCAAACUGGAUGUCACAGACAAGACCAUCUGGCUCAGCCCACAAGACAUCAGCAUUGGUCUAGGUGCAGAGUCAGUCCUUUAGGUAGUGUGAUGUUUUCAAAAGAUAAUUUUACAAAUGGUUAGGGUGAACCAGGUGUCAUUGAAGACAUGUUCUAUAUUCAUGGCUAAUUUCUCUCUCUAGAGAAUCAAAGGUGCAGAGCUCAGGGUGCUCGAGUUCAAGAGAGAGUGCAUGCAUGGACUGAGUAACAUGAUCAAGAAAUUGCAGGACAAGAGCCCCCUCAAGUAUCUGACUGUUAGGCAGAUGGUGUGCCUGGAUCCGUCAGUAAUGUAUAGAGAACCAGAAAGAGGCAGGAAUCACAUGAAAGGGCUGGUUCAAAGGUUUCUCCAGGACAAACAGCUUACUGAUACUUCUUCGGGGGAUGUCAUACUGCGGCAGUUUGACAGUCUCCUGUCCUUGGAGAGCCGGAGUGAGGACUUCCUCUCCUUUCAACCCAUGCAGAAGAGGCUGGACAUCUUCCUGAGCAGCGCCAUGGAGCCUUAUCCCGAGCUGUGGGCCUUCUGCAAGAAGCUGCUCAUCCUCUCCCACGGUCAAUCUACAGUUGAGCGUGGAUUCUCAAUCAAUAAAGAGGUGGAGUCUGAUAACUUGGCGGAGGAUACUGUGGUCACACGGAGACUGGUGUGUGACUACAUCAUACAACAUGGAGGUGUUACCAAGGUUCCACUCAGUAAACCGCUACUGGAAAGUGUAGCAAGGGCAAGGACAAGGUAUCGUACCCAUCUGGAGACCAAAAGAAGGAACAGGGAGGCAAAAGACCAGGCUCUCAAGGGAAGCAGAGGACUGUCUUGAGGAGCUGAAGGUUAAGAGGAGACGUGUACAGGAGGUAUCUGAGGGUCUGGCUAGGGAUGCGGACAAGAUGGCUGAGGAGGCUGAAGCGAAGGCAGGGAGCAAGAUGGCUUGCCUGAUCACCAGGUCAAACAUCCUGCGGAGAGGCCAUAAGGAGAAGUUGGCAGAACUGGCUCUCCUUGAUAAAGAGAUCGCUGCUAAGAGUGCAGAACUUAGGAGUUGACUGUGUGAUCAUAAUUUUAUUUAUUGUUGAGUUGAUUUUCAUUGUUUAUUGUUCAGGAGUCUGUGCUGUUGGCGUAAGUACUCACCACUAUGCUGCAAUAUUCCAUCAUUCCAUAAUGCUUUACAGUCCACAUUUUCACAUUUGUUGAAAUAAAUGAACAAAUUUUGAACAAACGUUGACGGUAGGUCUGUGAAAUAGGCCGUGAAAUAGGUAUUAAUUUUUAUAUAAGUGGUCUUAAAAGGGACUUAAAAAGACUUGAAUUUGACUUGAACAAAUCUGUAGGAACCCUGUAAUAAAAUAACCUCAAAC
rnacentral:lncRNA from 1 species